rnacentral:rRNA from 1 species
UGGGGAAUAUUGCACAAUGGGCGAAAGCCUGAUGCAGCAACGCCGCGUGAGUGAUGAAGGCCUUCGGGUUGUAAAGCUCUGUCUUUUGGGACGAUAAUGACGGUACCAAAGGAGGAAGCCACGGCUAACUACGUGCCAGCAGCCGCGGUAAUACGUAGGUGGCAAGCGUUGUCCGGAUUUUACUGGGCGUAAAGGAUGCGUAGGCGGAUUUUUAAGUGAGAUGUGAAAACCCUAAGCUUAACUUGGGGACUGCAUUUCAUACUGGAAAUCUAGAGUGCGGGAGAGGAGAAUGGAAUUCCUAGUGUAGCGGUGAAAUGCGUAGAGAUUAGGAAGAACACCAGUGGCGAAGGCGAUUCUCUGGACCGUAACUGACGCUGAGGCAUGAAAGCGUGGGUAGCAAACAGGAUUAGAUACCCUGGUAGUCCACGCCGUAAACGAUGAGUACUAGGUGUAGGAGGUAUCGACCCCCUUCUGUGCCGCAGUUAACACAAUUAAGUACUCCGCCUGGGAAGUA